ACAUUUGGAGAACUGGAAAACGAAGCUACACGAAAUGAAGAAUGUGCAGCAGAACAGAACCCGUGGUGGCAUGCAGACCUGUUUGGCACCAUGAACUUGGAACAGGUGACUGAAGACGAUGACCCUCCAUGCUAAACAAGUUCACACACACCAGAAGAAAUAAAACAUAAUCAAUAGCAAUAAAGAAAAUGAAUAAUACACAAACAAAUACCUGCAAAUGAACUGUAGGACAAAAAGCCUUCAGUGGCCUCUUCCCGUAAGAGCGGUUAUUAUUCUAUCAAGCUCUGCAAA